rnacentral:rRNA from 1 species
GACGAACGCUGGCGGCGUGCUUAACACAUGCAAGUCGAACGGAAAGGCCCUGCUUUUGUGGGGUGCUCGAGUGGCGAACGGGUGAGUAACACGUGAGUAACCUGCCCUUGACUUUGGGAUAACUUCAGGAAACUGGGGCUAAUACCGGAUAGGAGCUCCUGCUGCAUGGUGGGGGUUGGAAAGUUUCGGCGGUUGGGGAUGGACUCGCGGCUUAUCAGCUUGUUGGUGGGGUAGUGGCUUACCAAGGCUUUGACGGGUAGCCGGCCUGAGAGGGUGACCGGCCACAUUGGGACUGAGAUACGGCCCAGACUCCUUCGGGAGGCAGCAGUGGGGAAUAUUGCACGAUGGGCGGAAGCCUGAUGCAGCAACGCCGCGUGCGGGAUGACGGCCUUCGGGUUGUAAACCGCUUUCGCCUGUGACGAAGCGUGAGUGACGGUAAUGGGUAAAGAAGCACCGGCUAACUACGUG